rnacentral:lncRNA from 1 species
CAACGAUCUUGUGUUCAAUGCGAAAUUAACUCCACCGGCCGCCUGCGUCCGUGCCAUCGCAGUCGAUCUUGACCUGUGGGCUCAUCGUGCCCUUGGGAACACAGACACAGAUGUGGCGUACCUUAUUUUGUAACAUAACUUAAGUACUCUCACCUCUCUUCUACCCCCACAUCGCAAAAACUCGCAUAUUAAUACAUGGUUCAAGCCGGCUACUUGCCUGCCUUGGCACCUUUAAAAAAAUAUUCAAAAGCACUUUCAUAUACUUGAUGUCAAUUACAUGGUCGUAAAUAAUGUAAGGUAAUAUAAUACAAAAUAGAAUAAGAGAUUCUGAUGGUCAAGGUGUAGCCUUAAAUACCACAAUGAGGCAAACUGCGGCAUGCGUCAAGUGUAUCAUUCACUAUCAAUUGUAUCAUUCACUAUCAAUGCAUCUCCUUUGUCAAUUGUCGCUUCCAGCUCUAAUAAAAAGGAAGGGCAAUAUUAUACACACAAGAAUGGCAGAUCGCAGAUGUCAACUCAGGGGUGUAGCAUAUUAUUUGAAUUUUAUUUGCAAAUUCGGAACUGUCAAAUAUGCCACUCAUUCCUUCCUUUAAGCAAAAGAAUCAAUAAGUGCUAUUUGAUGCUUUUCUAAGCUAAUGCUAUUUCAGGUAGCAUAAGGAUUAGCUGGAGGAUAAUAAUGAUAGGUAUGCUACAUUUAACAUAAUUUCAUAUCAAGCAAUUCAAAUUUCAGUACUUACAUACUGCAACAAGUUACUUUUUUAUUUUUAGUCUUCGGAAG